rnacentral:rRNA from 1 species
AUUGAACGCUGGCGGCAGGCCUAACACAUGCAAGUCGAACGAGUGGCGGACGGGUGAGUAAUGUCUGGGAAACUGCCUGAUGGAGGGGGAUAACUACUGGAAACGGUAGCUAAUACCGCCUACCAUCGGAUGUGCCCAGAUGGGUUUAGCUAGGAGGUGGGGUAAAGGCUCACCUAGGCGACGAGCCCUAGCUGGUCUGAGAGGAGUACAAGCAACACGGGAAUUGAGACACGGUCUAGAAUACUACGGGAGGAAGCAGGGGGGAAUAUUGAACAAUGGGCGCAAGCCUGAUGCAGCCAUGCCGCGUGUAUGAAGAAGGCCUUGGGGUGGUAAAGUACUUUCAGAGGGGAGGCGUUACCCGCAGAAGAAGCACCGGCUAACUCCGUGCCAGCAGCCGCGGUAAUAC